GAUAAGUUCUCCGCCUGGGGAGUACGGCCGCAAGGUUGAAACUCAAAGGAAUUGACGGGGGCCCGCACAAGCGGCGGAGCAUGCGGAUUAAUUCGAUGCAACGCGAAGAACCUUACCAAGGCUUGACAUAUACCGGAUCGUUCCAGAGAUGGUUCUUCCCCUUUGGGGUCGGUAUACAGGUGGUGCAUGGUUGUCGUCAGCUCGUGUCGUGAG
rnacentral:rRNA from 1 species